rnacentral:rRNA from 1 species
GAGCCGAGAGAUGGUGCAUGGCCGCCGUCAGUUCGUGUCGUGAGAUGUCCUGUUAAGUCAGGCAACGAACAAGACCUAUACCUACAUUUGCUAGCGGGUCCUUUAGGACGACCGAGAACAAUGUAGGGACUGCCUUCGAAAGAAGGAGGAAGGUGUAGGCAACGGUAGGUCUGUAUGCCUCGAAUCUCCUGGGCUACACGCGCGCAACAAUGGUAGGGACAAUGGGAUGCCACUCCGAGAGGAGAAGCCAAACCUCAAAACCCUAUCCAAGUCCAGAUUGAGGGCUGCAAUUCGCCCUCAUGACGAUGGAAUUCCUAGUAAUCGGAUCUCAACAGGGUCCGGUGAACAUGUCACUGUGCCUUGCACACACUGCCCGUCAAGCCACUCGAGCAGGGCCUUGGUGAGGUCGUAUUGUUUUGAUACGUUCGAAUCUGGGCUCAGUAAGAAGGGUUAAGUCGUCACAAGGUAGCCGUAGGGGAACCUGCGGCUGGAUCACCUCCUAU